rnacentral:antisense_RNA from 1 species
GGAUAAAGCAAAGAAAAUCACAUUUAAUACUGAGUGAAUACAUCCUCUUCCCUUCUUAAGAAUUCUGUUUUCUUAUCUAUAAAAUAAGGGAUAAGUGGAGGGAUUAGCUCUUCUCUAAAGUGAUUUCUACUGGAGGAAAUUCAUGGUACUAAGGACUCUGUACCAAAAGCCCUUGCCUGGUACUUCAACGGUGCUUGGAAAAACAGACAGCCUAUUUCUUCUCUUCCCUUUGUGGACUGAGACUUAAAAUUCUUUUGGUGGCCAAGACAGAAACUAAGGCUGGUUUUGGGGUUGCAGAAUGAAGACAGAGAAAGGAGAGGAUAGCAGCCACAAUUUCAAGAGUGACCAUUUAUAUAUUCCAAUCAAAGGGCCAGCCCUGAGAAACUGGGAAGCCAUGGAGGAGGACGGUUAAUAACCAGACAGUUCAGGGAGAGAAUCUUGAACAAGCAUCUGACUGAGGAAAAGGCCUUAGUCGCGGAUGAGUUCUCACUGUGUUGCCUGGACUGGUCUCGAAAUCCCGACCUUAAGUAAUGCUCCUGCCUUGGCCUCCCAAAAUGCUGAAAUUACAGGCGUGAGCCACCAUUCCCAGCCCAGCAGUCUUCAUCUUAAGAAGAAAGCUGCCCAGCAUCAGAGGGGUCAGGUUCCCUUCUAAACAGAAUAUGAUAAUGCUGGCCUGCCAAAACUACAGCUUCCCCUUUAGGGAAGAACUAGUGCAAUUCCAGAGUUCACAACUGCAUUCAGACCUGGCCUACAGAGCAUCUCACACUCACUGUGCUUGUGACAUUCCCUUGUACCAGGCCCUCCACAAAGAGCUGGGAUUUGAAUUCUUUGACGAAGCUCAGCAGAGACUCAAGGGAAAGGCCAUCCAUCAAAGCCUGGUACUUGUCAAUCAUAGACCAACGGGCAUAUUCCAGGAUUAAAAGCCGUACAU